rnacentral:lncRNA from 1 species
UUUGUUAAGGGUGUCUAACAUCAUGAACUACAUGACUUUUAUCAUCGGUAAAACAAAAUAAAGUAGCGAUUAUUACUGUGAUGUUGAUUGAACAUAAAACCAUAAAAGCAUCAGACCCGGAAAAUGGACUGACAACAAUUAACAUGUUUCAGUUUACUUGAAAAAGCUAGACAUCAGCUGCUCAAACAAUUUCCAUGGAAUCAAUCCUUCACCGCCAAAGGCCUAUAGCAAGCACAUCAUGAAAUCAAUAAAAACAGAGGGUUUUGUCCAUGGACCUGUUUCAAAGAGAAAAAAGUAAAAACAACUUCCAGAUUUCCCCUGUCUCAAAGAGAUUAAGAGUAUAUUUGGAACCUAAUCUGCACUUUUGCACUUUUGUAAUGAGCAUCAUGAACCAACAAGAAAACGAUGUGAUGGAAUUAAAUUGACAAGAUUGAAAGCAACCAUGAAAGCUACUGAAAUUACUGAGAGAUGGAUGGCCCCUUUCCAGCUCACCACUGGAAUCCGGAACAACCAAGGACUUACGGACGUACCUGAACCAUAGCUUUGAGCAUUAUGUACUGUAUAACACUAUAACUUAAUGGAGUAAGACUAAUCAUU